GUGAUGGUGAUGAGAGGGGUUAUUAGGUUGUGAUGGUGAUGAGAGGGGUUAUUAGGUUGUGAUGGUGAUGAGAGGGGUUAUUAGGUUGUGAUGGUGAUGGAGAGGG